rnacentral:rRNA from 1 species
AGUCACUGACAUUAGAUACCCGUGUAGUCCAGGGUGUAAACGCUGCAGACUUGGUGUUGGAAGCCCUUUGGGGGCAUUCAGUGCCGGAGAGAAGUUGUUAAGUCUGCUACUUGGGGAGUACGUCCGCAAGGAUGAAACUUACAGGAAUUGGCGGGGGAGCACCGCAACGGGAGGAGCGUGCGGUUUAAUUGGAUUCAACACCGUAAAACUCACCAGGGAAGACUGUUACAUGAAGGCCGAGAUGAAGACUCUGCUAGAUUUUCAG